GAUAAACGCUGGCGGCGCACCUAAGACAUGCAAGUUGAACGGACUUAAUCGAAAUAUUUAUAUUUUGAAGCGGGUAGUGGCGGACUGGUGAGUAACGCGUAAGGAACCUGCCUAUUAGAGGGGAAUAACAGUGAGAAAUCAUUGCUAAUACCGCAUAUGCCAUAGAUAUCACAUGAUAACAGUGGGAAAGGAGCAAUCCGCUAAUAGAUGGCCUUGCGUCUGAUUAGAUAGUUGGUGGGGUAACGGCCUACCAAGUCGACGAUCAGUAGCCGGACUGAGAGGUUGGACGGCCACAUUGGGACUGAGAUACGGCCCAGACUCCUACGGGAGGAAGCAGGCGGGAAUAUUGCGCAAUGGAGGAAACUCUGACGCAGUGACGCCGCGUAGAGGAAGAAGGUCUUCGGAUUGUAAACUAUUGUCGUUAGGGAAGAGAAAGGACAGUACCUAAGGAGGAAGCUCCGGCUAACUACGUG
rnacentral:rRNA from 1 species